CACUUUAUCUCUCUGCAAUGCCUGAUACAUCAUCCGUUGAUAUGAAAGACACUGUUAUGAUGACUAUUACAUUUACAACUUGAUGCAUAUUGUGGAAAGACUGCCUGGCGCAGAUUCACGUGACCUCGCGGGUUCCGGUGACGUCAGGGCCCUGAAUCCGGAAGUUGAUGCGGGCGUCCGUGGGCUGCGGCCGGCGUCGGGUGAGACACGGGCAGCAUUUUUAUAGCGCUGGAUACAUCCCAAUAUGUUUCCUACUGAGCAUAUGCGGACGGCGGUAUUGGAGCAACAACUGCAGCUACACAGCAGAAGACUACAAGGUGUUUAAGUAGCAGAACUGGGAAACUCUGAAGUAGCAAAACCACAGGGGAAGACUGAAGGGAGCACAGAACUGGAGCACCUGCACAAGGCAGCAACAUAAAGCACUGGCAGCGUUUGGACCACAACUGAUCCCUUUUAAAAGAGGAGUUUGCCUAGGAUUGGCUGAAUGUAACACGAAGCUCAGACCAUUGGUCACAAGGAAUUGGUCUCCAAUAUGGUGGCUCCCAGUACAGCGGACACACAAGGGCCCCCUGCCUUACCUGCUUGGCUCCCUGCCUUCCGCACACCAGGGCGAGAGUCCUAGCAAUCCAACCCGGGUAGCGAGCAGGGUUGGACCCAUGUAACGGGGCAGUGUAAAUGGGUAACCUAGGUCAUCUUAGCCGGGUCUCAUUUACACUGUAUGGAGAGCUGGCUCUCCCACGCUUGGAGAUGAUGUCAUAUCCAAACACCAGCAGAGGGAAGCCCCAGCAAUAACGCGGUCCAGCCUGCAGUGUAAACAGGGUUCAAACCAUUGUAUCACAGCUUGAAAUCCACAUUCAGUGACCCGGGCUGUAAAAGUGGUAUUAACAACCUUCUCUAUUUAUUAUGGCUUCUUUGUCCAUGAAUAUGUAGUUUUUGCCACAGUGGGGUUUGUUAGCUGCAUUAUUGUGGACCAGUUAUCAGCCAAAAUGACGGAACAACAUAACAGUAAUGUCAGUGCCAGAAGAUGUGCACACCCGAACGGAGCAACACUUUAAUUGCUCCUUUGGGCGUCACCUAGUGGCCGCCAGGUGUGCAAAAAGACUUGAAUUCCCCCCGUAGAAAUGAGGAGCAGCAAUAACCUUUUAUUAUACUGGAUAAUGUUUAUGGACCUAACAUUGUCUGGAUACAAAAUCUUCUCUGGAUUGCUACCUUUCAUGAUCUCUGACUACUGAUUCUUUGGUUUCCCCCUUACCUUUCAGCAAGGCUUGCACAUUCUCUGAAUUUGCUUGUAUUGAUUGAUAACUUGGAUAUUAGUCUACUUGGUUGCCAACAACCCAGACUUUUGCUUGGACACUAGACCACAUUCCAACCUCUUGUUUUUUGGUCAUCAGAAUAGUUUUGUUAGGAUCUGGUUUCUAAUAAUAAA